GACUUGAUUGAAAUCUAGGCCGAUGUAAAGCCGUCGCAGAUGGACCUUGAAGCUCGCUCGUGAAACUGACCUUAGCCCCGUCUGAUC
rfam:Angomonas deanei Cont5418, whole genome shotgun sequence.